AUAAAAUAAAAUAAAAUAAAAUAAAAUAAUGACCUAAUUAAAAAGUGAGCAGAGGAUCUGAAUAGACAUUUUUCCAAAGAAGAUACUCAAAUGACCAACAAAUACAUGAAAAGGUGCUCAACCUCACGAUCAACAGUGAACUGCCAUUCAAAACUGCAAUAAGGUAGCACUUCAGCUACCAGAAUGGCUGUGAUCGAAGAAGAUGAGAGGGCUCUGCUGAUUAUGGUUGCUCAGGGAUCCAGGCACAGUGGCACCUUCUCUGGUGGAUCUGUGGUCUCAGAGGCAGGGAAAAGAGAAUCUGGUAAGCCACAGGCAGGCUUGUGAAGCUUCCAUCAAGAACUUCUCAUUUCCUUGAUGCCGAAGAAGUCCCGUGGCCAGCCUAGCAGGGAUAUGUCAUCGUCCUCUGGGAGAGGCACCCUAUCUGGAAGAAUCACAGCUUCUGCAGCGAGUCUAUGCCCGGGUGAAAACUGACCCACAAGAAAAUGCAGGAAGAUGUGCUCUUCCCCCACUUUUGCUGAACUGUGAGUAUGAGGA